rnacentral:rRNA from 1 species
UACGUAGGGCGCAAGCGUUGUCCGGAAUUAUUGGGCGUAAAGAGCUCGUAGGCGGCCUGUUACGUCUGCUGUGAAAUCCCGGGGCUUAACCCCGGGCGUGCAGUGGAUACGGGCAGGCUGGAGGCAGGCAGGGGAGAACGGAAUUCCCGGUGUAGCGGUGAAAUGCGCAGAUAUCAGGAGGAACACCAACGGCGAAGGCAGCUCGCUGGGACGGUACUGACGCUGAGACGCGAAAGCGUGGGGAGCAAACAGG